CAUGGAUCAUUUUGUCACAUGAUUGAUUUGGUCUGGCUAACUUGGCUGAGAAAGUUCAAAUUCCAUACCAGAGACCCGAUCAAAUGAAGAAGAGGGAUUUUGCUGAGGAAGCAUUAGCAACAGGUGGAGGGCCAUCUUGUGUGCCAGCCUUGAAGAGGCUCAUGGGCCAACUGAAGUGUCCUGAGGAAAUUUUAUGCUUGUGAAGAUAACACUUAAUCUGGUCUCAACUGAACAUACCUGAAUGAUUGUGAAUUUGCAUUCUAAUGACGCCACUCCUGAACAUGAUGAGGCUCUGCAGAGGGAGAUUUGCGCUGCCGGUCGUAACUAUGAAAGAGUAACUUGUGUACUUAUACUAUAUGAGCGGUGGAAUUUCACCUUUGAAUCUGUACACAAGGAUGCAUGACUACAAUCUCCUCCAUUUUUUAUAUUAUUCGCAUCAGUUUUGUUCCUAAUCACAAACAAGGAAAGUGUUGCUAAUUGCUUAGUUCUCCCAAGCCUGUUGUUUUCUUUUUCAUCGGCGGCUAAUUAAGUCGGUUGAUUGAGGUCCAACUGUGAACCAAUCAGAGACACCUGGAAUGUGUGGCGAGAUAUG